GCUGGGUGUGGUGGCUCACACCUGUAAUCCCAGCACUUUGGGAGGCCGAGGUGGGGGGAUCACUUGAGGUCAGGAGUUCAAGACCAGCCUGGCCAACAUGGUGAAACCCUGUCUCUACUAAAAUACAAAAAUUAGCUGGGCGUGCUGGGCACAGUGGCUCACACCUGUAAUCCCAGCACUUUGGGAGGCUCAGGUGGGUGGAUCACGAGGUCAGGAAUUUGAGACCAGCCUGACCAACAUGGUGAAACCCCAUCUCU
rnacentral:sRNA from 1 species